AUUGAACGCUGGCGGCAUGCUUUACACAUGCAAGUCGAACGGUAACAGGGAGCUUGCUCCGCUGCCGAGUGGCGAACGGGUGAGUAAUAUAUCGGAACGUACCCAAGAGUGGGGGAUAACGUAGCGAAAGUUACGCUAAUACCGCAUACGAUCUAAGGAUGAAAGCAGGGGACCUUCGGGCCUUGUGCUCCUGGAGCGGCCGAUAUCUGAUUAGCUAGUUGGUGAGGUAAAGGCUCACCAAGGCGACGAUCAGUAGCUGGUCUGAGAGGACGACCAGCCACACUGGAACUGAGACACGGUCCAGACUCCUACGGGAGGCAGCAGUGGGGAAUUUUGGACAAUGGGCGCAAGCCUGAUCCAGCAAUGCCGCGUGAGUGAAGAAGGCCUUCGGGUUGUAAAGCUCUUUUGUCAGGGAAGAAACGGGAUUGGCUAAUAUCCAGUCCUAAUGACGGUACCUGAAGAAUAAGCACCGGCUAACUACGUG
rnacentral:rRNA from 1 species